rnacentral:rRNA from 1 species
GACAGCAGGACGGUGGCCAUGGAAGUCGGAAGCCGCUAAGGAGUGUGUAACAACUCACCUGCCGAAGCAACUAGCCCUGAAAAUGGAUGGCGCUAAAGCUCCGUGCCUAUACCCGGCCGCCGGAAGGCAUUGGCGCGAGGUGCUCCCUUCGGGGGGCGCCGAGCGCGUGAAGCCCCGGCGAGUAGGAGGGCGCGGCGGUGUGCGCGGAAGGGUCUGGGCGUGAGCCUGCCUGGAGCCGCCGCCGGUGCAGAUCUUGGUGGUAGUAGCAAAUACUCAAGCGAGGGCCUUGAGGGCUGAUGUGGAGAAGGGUUUCGUGUGAACAGCCGUUGCACACGAGUCAGUCGAUCCUAAGCCCUAGGAGAAAUCCGAUGUCGAUGCGGGGGGCUAACAAGAAUAGUUUUCCCCCUCGAUGGGCGAAAGGGAAUCCGGUUCCUAUUCCGGAACCCGGCAGCGGAACCGAAUCUACGGGCCCUCAUCAGAGAAGCUCGUCGGGGUAACCCAAAGGGACCCGGAGACGCCGUCGGGAGACCCGGGCAGAGUUUUCUGUUCUGCAUAAGCGUUCGAGUUCCCUGGAAUCCUCUAGCAGGGAGAUAGGGUUUGGAACGCGAAGAGCACCGCAGUUGCGGCGGUGUCCGGGUCGUCCCCUCGGACCUUGAAAAUCCGGGAGAGGGUCACGCGGAGGUGUCGCGCCGGCUCGUACCCAUAUCCGCAGCAGGUCUCCAAGGUGAAGAGCCU